rnacentral:rRNA from 1 species
UUCCAGUGAACCUUGCCCUUUAAGUGGGCAAAUUAUAAUGUGUGGGUUUGGUUAUGUGUAUCCUCUUAUAUCCUGGGGGCGCCUUGGUUGGCGGUGAAAAACUUUAGAACCGAAUAAACCCCGUGGAACGUUCCACGCGGGUUUUUUAUACAUGCAUGUAAUAUUCUCCCCCAACCCGCGGUGCAUUAGUUAGUUGGUGAGGUAAUGGCUCACCAAGACGAUGAUGCAUAGCCGAGUUGAGAGAAUUAUUGGCCCCACGGCACUGUGACCCGGCCCAUACUCCUACGGGAGGAAGCAUUAGGAAUUUUCCACAAUGGCGAAAGCCUGAUGAGCAACGCCGGAGGGUGAUGAAGGUUUCGGCUCGUAAAACAGUGUGUAAGAGAAGAAUGACCUUGAGAGUAAUUGUUCAAUGUGUGACGGUAUCUUACCAGAAAGGAACGGCUAAAUACGUGCCAGCAGCCGCGGUAAUACGUAUGUUCCAAGCGUUAUCCGGAUUUAUUGAGCGUAAAGCGAGCGCAGACGGUUAUUUAAGUUUGAAGUGAAAGCCCUCAGCUCAACUGAGGAAUUGCUUUGGAAACUGGAUGACUUGAGUGCAGUAGAGGAAAGUGGAACUCCAUGUGUAGCGGUGAAAUGCGUAGAUAUAUGGAAGAACACCAGUGGCGAAGGCGGCUUUCUGGACUGUAACUGACGUUGAGGCUCGAAAGUGUGGGUAGCAAACAGGAUUAGAUACCCUGGUAGUCCACACCGUAAACGAUGAGUGCUAGGUGUUUGAGGGUUUCCGCCCUUAAGUGCCGCAGCUAACGCAUUAAGCACUCCGCCUGGGGAGUACGACCGCAAGGUUGAAACUCAAAGGAAUUGACGGGGACCCGCACAAGCGGUGGAGCAUGUGGUUUAAUUCGAAGCAACGCGAAGAACCUUACCAGGUCUUGACAUCCCUUGACAACUCCAGAGAUGGAGCGUUCCCUUCGGGGACAAGGUGACAGGUGGUGCAUGGUUGUCGUCAGCUCGUGUCGUGAGAUGUUGGGUUAAGUCCCGCAACGAGCGCAACCCUUAUUACUAGUUGCCAGCAUUCAGUUGGGCACUCUAGUGAGACUGCCGGUGACAAACCGGAGGAAGGUGGGGAUGACGUCAAAUCAUCAUGCCCCUUAUGACCUGGGCUACACACGUGCUACAAUGGCGUAUACAACGAGUUGCCAACCCGCGAGGGUGAGCUAAUCUCUUAAAGUACGUCUCAGUUCGGAUUGUAGGCUGCAACUCGCCUACAUGAAGUCGGAAUCGCUAGUAAUCGCGGAUCAGCACGCCGCGGUGAAUACGUUCCCGGGUCUUGUACACACCGCCCGUCACACCAUGAGAGUUUGUAACACCCAAAGCCGGUGGGGUAACCUUCGGGAGCCAGCCGUCUAAGGUGGGACAGAUGAUUAGGGUGAAGUCGUAACAAGAGCAUGC